rnacentral:lncRNA from 1 species
AUGUCCAAGACAUUUAGCGUGUCGGCCGACGAGCUUGAGAGCACCAUCUCCCCGCAGCCGGGAGGCAGACGGUGUAGUCUUUCCCCCGAUGGUCCCUGCGGGUGCCUGUCAACCGAUUCCAAGAGUAUUAAUCCCGUGAAUGAGGGAGGAGCCAGCAGAUCACCUGACACCACCGAGGACUGCUGCUUCUCCAGAGGUUCCUCUGAGGUUAACAGUCAAAGUGAUGCCUGUAAUCACCUUCAUGUUGCGUCUAGCAUGAACCAGGCCUUUGUUUUCACACCUGUAAAUGAAAGCCAAGUCAAACCAAGCCGCACCCUCUGCAGAGGACCUGAUGAGAUGGACAACUGCUCUCUGAGCUCCGGGGAAAUGGUCAUGAGAAGCAAAAGUUUCUGCCUGCAGGACCAGUCGCUCAUUGUUUUCUCUUCGUUGGAUGGCUCGUCUCUCUCUCCAGCUCAAAGUGGGGCAUCAUUUCCCGCUGAUUCCCCCCUGCAGUCCACAAGUCGGCCAAAAGUCUACGCAAACUCCCAGGCGGGAGUGUCUGAGGAGAGUUCUGGUUACCCAUGUCUCGGUGUCACCUUCAUCCAAGGAGAUGACGCGGUUCCUCAAACUUCAGAAAACUUCGGAAGCUCUCUUCUUACUCUUCCAAGUGAGGAAGCAGGAGAUCUUUUCACGACUUUUAUCUGUGAAACACCGACAGAUGUCCUGAGAGUCGGCAAUUCGUCUUGUGCGGAAGCAGAACCGCUGCCUAAUGUUUCCCUAGGAACGACACCAGAACUGUGCAAGACCUUUGUGUCGUCUGCAUUCGUUUCACGAGGCCGUGCCGGCAUUUAUACAUCCACUCCAAAUCAAAACAUCGGAAACAAGAUCCUAAGCCACCCUUCUCUGUCUCCCUGCACGGAAAAAACGAGCAGCCCAGAAGUUCCACCUGUAAAACGGCCUCAAGUCUCCGUCACUCCCCGCCAGCGGCCGGCUGUGGGAGUGACGCCGUCCUUCAGCAGGGUCAAGACGAUGGAAGUAAAACCCAAAGCCCUGAAAAAACAACAGAACAUCCAACAGAAGCAGCUACCACACAGUUUUCUGAGUGAAGUAAACGGGAGAGCAGCAGCUGGACUUAACCGCACUAAAGUGAGGAAUACGGGGAGAGUCAUGUCUGCCACCUCUAAAACCCAGAAUGAGGCUCCCAGUCAAGUCAACCCAGGAUUUGGACAUUCUGGAGCAGCUGUUAGACAAUCCUGUAAGCGGAAAGCUGUGGAUGCACAGAACAAAAACAGACUAAGUGGGCCCAACCCAACAUCGAGUGACGGC